rnacentral:rRNA from 1 species
AUUUUUCGCAAUGGGGGAAACCCUGACGAAGCAACGCCGCGUGGAGGAUGAAGGCCUUCGGGUCGUAAACUCCUGUCGACCGGGACGAACGCUACUCGACCUAAUACGUCGGGUAGUCGACUGUACCGGUAGAGGAAGCUACGGCUAACUCUGUGCCAGCAGCCGCGGUAAUACAGAGGUGGCAAGCGUUGUUCGGAAUUACUGGGCGUAAAGGGCGCGUAGGCGGUCUUCUAAGUUCCGUGUGAAAUCCCUCGGCUCAACCGGGGAACUGCACGGAAAACUGGAAGGCUUGAGUUCGGGAGAGGGAAGCGGAAUUCCGGGUGUAGCGGUGAAAUGCGUAGAUAUCCGGAGGAACACCGGUGGCGAAGGCGGCUUCCUGGACCGACACUGACGCUGAGGCGCGAAAGCUAGGGGAGCAAAC